rnacentral:rRNA from 1 species
AAUAGAUACCCCGGUAGUCCACCCCGUAAACGUUGGGAACUAGUUGUGGGGUCCAUUCCACGGAUUCCGUGACGCAGCUAACGCAUUAAGUUCCCCGCCUGGGGAGUACGGCCGCAAGGCUAAAACUCAAAGGAAUUGACGGGGACCCGCACAAGCGGCGGAGCAUGCGGAUUAAUUCGAUGCAACGCGAAGAACCUUACCAAGGCUUGACAUACACGAGAACGCUGCAGAAAUGUAGAACUCUUUGGACACUCGUGAACAGGUGGUGCAUGGUUGUCGUCAGCUCGUGUCGUGAGAUGUUGGGUUAAGUCCCGCAACGAGCGCAACCCUCGUUCUAUGUUGCCAGCACGUAAUGGUGGGAACUCAUGGGAUACUGCCGGGGUCAACUCGGAGGAAGGUGGGGAUGACGUCAAAUCAUCAUGCCCCUUAUGUCUUGGGCUUCACGCAUGCUACAAUGGCCGGUACAAAGGGCUGCAAUACCGUGAGGUGGAGCGAAUCCCAAAAAGCCGGUCCCAGUUCGGAUUGAGGUCUGCAACUCGACCU